UUCCUUCUUGAAAUCGCUGCUUCUCUGUGGAUUUUUAAGAAACUUUUAGCUGUUUCCGUACAGUACACACGCAAUGCUUUUACUGAUUUUGCGUCACUGUUCCAUCUCCUUGCUCCGUCACUGUUUACAGAUUUUGGUUUCUAGGUCGAAUCCUGCUUCCUGAUCGAGCCGGCUUGGCUGCAGAAUAGCCGAUUUCAAUUUCUGCGACAUUGUUAUCUUGUAGAGCUGUAGAAUCUGUGUCUUUCGGAGGGUACCGUUCAGCUCAUCAACGUGGGGCUAGGGUUUUAGUAGGGAGAAACGUUUUUGAGUGUUGCGAAAUCAAUUCGUAAAAAGUUUAUUUUUUUCCUUAGUUAAGGAUUUAAUGUUGCUGAGUGUUCCGUUCCUUAUGAUUGUUUAUUUCGUGGACUUGCACUCUCUGAUUUUACUUUUGUUGUAUCUAACUUUGUUUAAGUGUCUUCUCUCUAGGAGGAUUGAUUGUCUCUCUAUGCUGCAACCAAACGGUGAGGGUGGAGAACACCACCCUGACUUCAAGUGGGGCCUUAAGAAAGCGGUGGGACGGACGGAUAAAAGCGUCAGCUUUUACGAAUCCUUCACCUUUGAGGACAUCGAGUACCGCCUCUUCGACUGUGCUUAUUUCCAAAUCCAAGGUCAGUGCGAGACCUCCGUCGGGAAGCUUAUCAGGAUGUACGAGACUUCAGCUGGUGAGAAGAAAGUCAAGGUCCUUUGGUUUUUCCGACCUAUGGACAUCCGUAGCUACUUGAGAGAUUACGUGCCGCAGUGGGAUGAGUUGUUUCUCGCUUGUGGUGAUGACCCUGGGGUUUACAAUAUCAACGAUGUGGAUACAAUCUUGGGGAAAUGCAGUGUUGUGUGCUUAUCAGAUGACCGAAGGAACCCAAUACCAGGAAGAAGGGAGCUUAGGGAUGCUCGCUAUGUAUUCUCCCGCACCUUCGAUACAAAACUGAAAAUUAUAUCAGCGGAUUUUGCUGAUGCAAUAGCUGGAAUUAAAGUGGAGAGUUUCUUCAACAAGAGAAUACCUAAGGACCCUCAGAAACGCCUAAACUCAAGCGCAGCUCCGGUGAAAUCUUUUCGUUCAGAGUCGCGGUUAGGUAAAAACUAUGACAGAGAUGGAAAGCUGACGUGUAGAACAAGCCCAGUUAAGAAAGAAUUGUUGGCUGAUCGUGUACAUGUGAAGAAAUACCCUCCUGUCAGUACUGAUAUUACGUCAAGAGGUCUGAAAAAUAAAACCACACCAUCAGGGAGUCCACUUGUUUCAGGUUCAUCAGGUGAUCACAAACCUAAAAGGAGGAAGCUUCUACUCAAUACUCCAGAUUCAGAUUAUUGCCCUGAACCAAGAGAGAAUAAAUUCACCAAAAAUCCACCUCUUGUAGACAAAGCUCCACCAACUCAGACAAUUGGUAGAACCAGCUGGUACAAGAAACCGAAUUUUGAGGAGGAACUAAAAGGAGCUAUUGAAACAGAAAGGUUGGUCUUGUUUGAAAAUCUGGAACCAUCAUACACAUCGAUGGAGGUGGAGAAUCUUUGUAGGUACGCUUUCAAGGAACGAGUUGAUGCCCAGAUGAUCCCAGCAAGUCUUGUCUCUAACCCACAUAUUGGGAGAGCUCUCGUGAUAUUUGACACCAAAAAGGCAGCUGAUAAUGCCAUAUCUCGGUUAACCAGAGGGUGCCUGAUGUUAGAUGAUCAGAGGCCUCUAGUGUGUAGCAGAGAUUUCCCAAAGGAAGUCGGAGAAUGUGGAAGCUUUACUGGACAUCAGAGGCUGGUGGAUAGGGCUCUGAUGUCAAUUUCGAAAGUAAGAGAAAUGCCGUUUCUACAGCACACUGCACGCAGCCAAACCACAUUGUACACGAGUUAGCCGUGGAAUGGAAAGCUCUGCAUGCAAAGUCAGAAGGGAAGUGGAAGAGGUUACUAGAGGAACAAGACAAGGAAAUUAACAUCAUCUUCAGAAGAAAACACCCUAAGAGCGUCAGAGGAUAGGAGUAAGAUGCAAGUCCAUUGUCUCAGCAGCAUAAUUAAAGAGAUCAUAUGUUCGAAUUUGGGUUAAGUUUUUUGGAACCUAAGUUAAUGCCCUUUUGUGUCUUUAGGUGGCAUUAACUUAGUAGUCUCACCAGCUCUGAUGCUGAUCUCGGAAUUAGGACAUAGGGGGUACAUAACGAUUUGGCAGCUUUUUGAUGUCGUAUAUUGCCAAAAGGAAAACACAACCUGAGUAUAUCCACCAUCCACCUUUGCAAAUAGUUAGUUAAUG